GAGCUGUCCUUAGGACCCAUUCCUACACUGGGAGGCAGUCAAACGCCUUUGCUGAUAAGCCGGCCAAACCACAGCUAAACGUCGCCAACGUCAGUGACGUCAUAAAGCUGCAGUGUGUUAGUCAGCCUCUUGAUUAGCAUAAACUACAGUGGGAGGAGACUAGAGGAUGUCAGCAACCCGUUCCUGACCUUGGAUACGCUUAGCAACGUGGAGGUAUCUUACAAAAUGACUGUCAGAAUUGUGCUCACACGUAGGGGCAGUUCUUUUUGCUGUGGAGGACAUGGUGAAGCGUGAAGAGAAAGUUUGAAACCCUGCGAGUGGCUGAUGCCAUCUCAUGUA